GGCAGCAGUGGGGAAUAUUGGACAAUGGGGGAAACCCUGAUCCAGCCAUGCCGCGUGAGUGAUGAAGGCCUUAGGGUUGUAAAGCUCUUUUAGCAGGGAAGAUGAUGACGGUACCUGCAGAAUAAGCACCGGCUAACUUCGUGCCAGCAGCCGCGGUAAUACGAAGGGUGCUAGCGUUGUUCGGAAUCACUGGGCGUAAAGCGUGCGUAGGCGGCUAAACAAGUCAGGGGUGAAAGCCUGAGGCUCAACCUCAGAAUUGCCUUUGAAACUGUUUAGCUGGAGUGUCGGAGGGGAUAGCGGAAUUCCUAAUGUAGCGGUGAAAUGCGUAGAUAUUAGGAGGAACACCGGUGGCGAAGGCGGCUAUCUGGACGACAACUGACGCUGAGGCACGAAAGCGUGGGGAUCAAACAGGAUUAGAUACCCUGGUAGUCCACGCUGUAAACGAUGGGUGCUAGCCGUUGGGGGGUUACCUCUCAGUGGCGUAGUUAACGCGUUAAGCACCCCGCCUGGGGAGUACGGUCGCAAGAUUAAAACUCAAAGGAAU
rnacentral:rRNA from 1 species